rnacentral:rRNA from 1 species
GAUGAACGCUGGCGGCGUGCCUAAUACAUGCAAGUCGAGCGAAUGGAUUAAGAGCUUGCUCUUAUGAAGUUAGCGGCGGACGGGUGAGUAACACGUGGGUAACCUGCCCAUAAGACUGGGAUAACUCCGGGAAACCGGGGCUAAUACCGGAUAACAUUUUGAACCGCAUGGUUCGAAAUUGAAAGGCGGCUUCGGCUGUCACUUAUGGAUGGACCCGCGUCGCAUUAGCUAGUUGGUGAGGUAACGGCUCACCAAGGCAACGAUGCGUAGCCCACCUGAGAGGGGGAUAGGACACACUGGGACUGAGACACGGCCCGGACUCCUACGGGAGGCAGCAGUAGGGAAUCUUCCGCAAUGGACGAAAGUCUGACGGAGCAACGCCGCGUGAGUGAUGAUGGCUUUCGGGUCGUAAAACUCUGUUGUUAGGGAAGAACAAGUGCUAGUUGAAUAAGCUGGCACCUUGACGGUACCUAACCAGAAAGCCACGGCUAACUACGUGCCAGCAGCUGCCGUAA